rnacentral:rRNA from 1 species
AUUGAACGCUGGCGGCAGGCUUAACACAUGCAAGUCGAACGGUAACAGGCAGCAGCUUGCUGCUUCGCUGACGAGUGGCGGACGGGUGAGUAAUGUCUGGGAAACUGCUUGAUGGAGGGGGACUACUACUGGAAACGGCAGCUAAUACCGCAUAACGUCGCCUGACCAAAGAGGGGGACCUUAUGGCCUCUUGCCAUCGGAUGCGCGCAGAUGGGAUGAGCUAGUAGGUGGGGUAACCGUUCCCCUAGGCGACGAUCCCUAGCUGGUGUGAGAGGAUGACAAGCCACACGGGAAGUGAGACAGGGUCCAGACUACUACGAGAGGCAGCAGACGGGAAUGUUGCGCAGUAGGGGCGAACCUGAUGCAGCGAUGCCGCGUGUAUGAAAAAGGCCGUGGGGUUGUGAAGUAGGUUCAGCGGUGAGGAAGGGAGUAAAGUUAAUACCUUUGCUCAUUGACGUUACCGGCAGAAGAAGCACCGGCUAACUACGUG